rnacentral:rRNA from 1 species
GUGAGGAAUUUUCCGCAAUGGGCGAAAGCCUGACGGAGCAAUGCCGCGUGAAGGAUGAAGGCCUAUGGGUUGUAAACUUCUUUUCUCAGAAAAGAAUUAUGACGGUAUCUGAGGAAUAAGCAUCGGCUAACUCUGUGCCAGCAGCCGCGGUAAGACAGAGGAUGCAAGCGUUAUCCGGAAUGAUUGGGCGUAAAGCGUCUGUAGGUUGUUUAAAAAGUAUUCUGUCAAAGAUUAGGGCUUAACCCUAGAUAGGCAGAAUAAACUUUUAAGCUAGAGUUUGGUAGAGGCAGAGGGAAUUCCCGGUGGAGCGGUGAAAUGCGUAGAUAUCGGGAGGAACACCAAAGGCGAAGGCACUCUGCUGGGCCAAUACUAACACUGAGAGACGAAAGCGAGGGGAGCAAAUGGGAUUAGAUACCCGAGUAGGUCC